ACGAAUUAUUUUAUAUAAAAUACAUAUUUCCUUCGUUCUAACAAGUCCGGAUGCGAUUCAUUACGCUAAGUAUGUGAUUUUACAUCCUUGUUACAAGAUCUACGCUAUUUCAUCAAUUUUGUUCUUCGUUUGAGACUUGUGGAACCUUUUGAUUUCGGUCCAGCCCUUCAUACCUUCUAUUUAUAUCUCAAUUAACAUGUUGUUCUUCAUUAUUAGACUCGUCGACUGUUCGUGCUUCGGAGACGAAUCAGGAUUAGUUGCUUGCCAGGUUAUCACGUGGAUUAGCAAGCAGGUUAUAAUAUGAGCGAGUCAGCUGCUCUCCGAUUCUUUAUUUCCUCGGAGGUUUUACUUUAUUCAGUAAUGUAUAUUAAAUUGAUUUUAUUCUUAGACCGCAGUAGUAAUUAGAAGUCUUAUAUGUCUAAUACUUGUUAUAAACUUAUUCAAUGAUUAUCGUUGUA